rnacentral:tRNA from 1 species
GUCAGUUUGGCCGAGCGGUUAAGGCGUCAGACUUGAAAUCUGAUGGGUUAUACCCGCGCAGGUUCAAGUCCUGCAGCUGACG